AGUUGAGAUUUGAUGUCAUGAUAUUCGAUGCCUUCAUUAUUUCUAACUUGGAGAUGAAAAACCAUGAAGGUCUUCGGACGGUUGUGCCAAACCUUAUGGUGUUUAGCAGCAUUGAUGACUAUUAGCAAAGGAUUUCGAGAGAUCGUCUGCGGCGCUAAGAAUGUCACCAUAAGUUGUGGCAGAGACAAAGGCAUUGCCAUCAAGCGGUUAUAUGGUUGUGAUGACUGUCGCAGAGACGGGUGCGCCGAGUCUAUCCUGGAUAAGGAGAACAAUGACAGAGUUUGGUCCAGGUGCAACAUGUCCUCAAGUUGUAAUAUCGUGCCGUCGAAUAUAAAGGAAGGACAGGGUUUGGGGGUGGAAUAUCACUGCGCCGGCAAUGUCACAGGCUGCAAUAACGACACAAUCUCCCUCUAUUGCCUUGGACAACAAACAAUCCAUCUGACAAAAUAUUAUCAGCUGGGUUGCUGCCAAGAGUCUAGGAAUUGUGUUCCGACGGAAACGGAGGUUUCUGUUAACGCAACAUCGCUUGGACGGUACAUCUCACUGAGUUGCCAAGGCAAGCAGAAUUGUCAGAAACGGGUGCCAGAAACAGCUCUCCGGGUACAUUAUUUGU